rnacentral:lncRNA from 1 species
CCCCAUGGCAGGAGAAUAAAGUCAAGUUUUUCCUGUUCAUCGUUCAAUGGCUCAAACGCAUCGCUCUCUCGGCAAAAGCGAAAGGAGGAGCAACUUGCCAUUUGGAUAUAUCUUAGCUGUGUUUGUGCCCUCACUCAUGGUCCAGACUUUUUUCAAAUAGGACAUGGAGUUUUUCUGCAGCAAGCGUUUUGGUAGAAACUGCGCCUCCCAUUCAUUAUAAUGGUAAAUGACCACAGACAAGUGCGCACACCAUCUUUGGACCUUGAGUGUGACGCGAUUGGGUGGGGGAGGCGGUCGCGCUGGGGGCGGCGCGACACGGCUCGGGCCCGCCAGUGCCCCACCGGGGCCCUAGUUCUUCUUCUUCUUAUUAUUAUUUUUCUGCCCCUUUGAACUGGAAAAUGGCCCACUUCCCACUGGUGAAAAGUCAUGAAAUUUGGCAGGACGACCGGGCCUGGUGAAAAAUUCGAUAUUCUGAAGUCGCCCAAAAAAUCAAAUGCAAAAUGGCUCCAUAGCGCCCCCUAAGGUGAAAAAUUCACAUGAUUGAGUGUCACGCCUGUACGCUUUGUCAAAAUGACACAAAAUUUGACACACACGUGUAUCUCAAUAAGAUCUACAAAAAAGUCAGUGCGGGCGUAUCUGUCAAAUGUACGGUUAAAGGGCUAUUUCGCAUUUUUUGCCGAUCCGCACACAUUGGAAUUUCGCUAACUCCUCCGAAGGCUUUCGUUCCACCGGCACCAAAUUUGCUCAGGCCAAUCUACACCCCAUGGCCAUUAAAAGUUGUACAAAUCAUGACGCUGCAUCCCACGGUUUACGUUCUAGGGGGCGCCAAAGAUAACCCAGAAAUCCACAUUCUUAAAAGUCGUAAAACUUUUUAUUUUUGUCCUCACUGGCCUCCAAGUUUUCUAGGAUGAUGCAAUGUCCAGCCAUCAACACAUUUGUGAAGGAAUUUUUACUCGCCAAAAGAGCGCCCCCCCAUGGCAGGAGAAAAAAGUCCAUUUUUUCUUGUCUCCUAAGGCGAAAAUUCACACUAUUGACUGUCACGCCUUUACGCUUUGUCAUAUUGACACAAAAAUUGACACACACAUGUAUCUCAAUAAGAUCUACAAAAAAGUCAGUGCGGGCGUAUCUGUCAAAUGUACGGUUAAAGGGCUAUUUCGCAUUUUUUGCCGAUCCGCACACAUUGGAAUUUCGCUAACUCCUCCGAAGGCUUUCGUUCCAAAGGCACCACAUUUGCUCAGGCCAAUCUACACCCCAUGGCCAUUAAAAGUUGUACAAAUCAUGACACUGCACCCCACGGUUUACGUUCUAGGGGGCGCCAAAGAUAACCCAAAAAUCCACAGUCUUAAAAGUCUUAUAACUUUUUAUUUUUGUCCUCACUGGCCUCCAAGUUCUCUAGGAUGAUGCAAUGUCCAGCCAUCAACACAUUUGUGAAGGAAUUUUUACUCGCCAAAAGAGCGCCCCCCCCAUGGCAGGAGAAAAAAGUCAAUUUUUUCUUGUCUCCUAAGGCGAAAAUACACAUUGUUGACUGUCACGCCUUUACGCUUUGUCAAAAUGACACAAAAUUUGACACACACAUGUAUCUCAAUAAGAUCUACGAAAAAGUCAAUGCGAGCGUAUCUGUUCAAUGUACGGUUAAAGGGCUAUUUCGCAUUUUUUGCUGAUUCGCACACAUUGGAAUGUGGCUAACUCCUCCUAAAUCUUUUGUCCCAUCGGCUUCAAAUUUGCUCAGGUCAAUCUACACCCCAUGGCCAUUCAAAGUUGUACAAAUCAUGACGCUGCACCCCAAGUUUACGUUCUAGGGGGCGCCAAAGAGGACCCAAAUAUCCACAUUUUUAAAAGUCUUAUAACUUUUUAUUUUUGUCCUCACUGGCCUCCAAGUUUUCUAGGAUGAUGCAAUGUCCAGCCAUCAACACAUUUGUGAAGGAAUUUUUUCUCCCCAAAAGAGCGCCCCCCCAUGGCAGGAGAAAAAGUCAAGUUUUUCCUGCCCAUCGCUCAAUGGCUCAAACGCAUCGCUCUCUCGGCAACACCGUAAGGAGGAGCAACUUGCCAUUUGGAUAUAUCCUAGCUGUGUUUGUGCCCUCACUCAUGGUCCAGACUUUUUUCAAAUAGGACAUGUAGUUUGUCUGCAGCGACCGUUUUGGUAGAAACUGCGCCUCCCAUUCAUUAUAAUGGGAAAUGACCACAGACAAGUGCGCACACCAUCUUUGGACCUUGAGUGUGACGCGAUCGGGGGGGGGGUAGGCGGUCGCGCUGGGGGCGGCGCGACGCGGCGCGACGCGGCUCGGGCCCGACAGUGCCCCACCGGGGCCCUAGUUAUUAUUUUUCCUCCCCUUUGAACUGGAAAAUGGCCCACUUCCCACUGGCGAAAACUCAUGAAAUUUGGCAGGACGACCGGGCCUGGUGAAAAAUUUGAUAUUCCUAAGUCGCCCAAACAAGAAAAUGCAAAAUGGCUCCAUAGCGCCCCCUAAGGUGAAAAUUCACACUAUUGACUGUCACGCCUGUACGCUUUGUCAAAAUGACACAAAAAUUGACACACACAUGUAUCUCAAUAAGAUCUACAAAAAAGUCAGUGCGGGCGUAUCUGUCAAAUGUACGGUUAAAGGGUUAUUUCGCAUUUUUUGCCGAUCCGCACACAUUGGAAUUUCGCUAACUCCUCCGAAGGCUUUCGUUCCACCGGCACCACAUUUGCUCAGGCCAAUCUACACCCCAUGGCCAUUAAAAGUUAUUCAAAUCAUGACGCUGCACCCCACGGUUUAGGUUCUAGGGGGCGCCAAAGAUAACCCUAAGAUCCACAUAUUUAAAAGUCUUAUAACUUUUUAUUUUUGCCCUCACUGGCCUCCAAGUUUUCUAGGAUGAUGCAAUGUCCAGCCAUCAACACAUUUGUGAAGGAAUUUUUACUCCCCAAAAGAGCGCCCCCCCAUGGCAGGAGAAAAAAGUCCAUUUUUUCUUGUCCCCUAAGGUGAAAAUACACAUUGUUGAGUGUAACACCUGUACGCUUUGGCAAAAUGACACAAAAAUUGACACACACAUGUAUCUCAAUAAGAUCUACGAAAAAGUCAAUGCGCACGUAUCUGUCAAAUGUACGGUUAAAGGGUUAUUCUGCAUUUUUUGCCGAUCCGCACACAUUGGAAUUUCGCUAACUCCUCCGAAGGCUUUCAUUCCACUGGUACCACAUUUGCUCAGGCCAAUCUACACCCCAUGGCCAUUAAAAGUUAUUCAAAUCAUGACGCUGCACCCCACGGUUUAGGUUCUAGGGGGCGCCAAAGAUAACCCUAAAAUCCACAUAUUUAAAAGUCUUAUAACUUUUUAUUUUUGUCCUCACUGGCCUCCAAGUUUUCUAGGAUGAUGCAAUGUCCAGCCAUCAACACAUUUGUGAAGGAAUUUUUACUCCCCAAAAGAGCGCCCCCCCAUGGCAGGAAAAAAAAGCCAAUUUUUUCUUGU